UACAGAGGUCUCAAGCGUUGUUCGGAUUCAUUGGGCGUAAAGGGUGCGUAGGCGGCGCGGUAAGUCACGUGUGAAAUCUCCACGCUCAACGUGGAGGCGCCACGUGAGACUGCCCUGACUCGAGUCCGGUAGGGGAGCGUGGAAUUCCCGGUGUAGCGGUGAAAUGCGCAGAGAUCGGGAGGAACACCCGUAGCGAAGGCGGCGCUCUGGGCCGGUACUGACGCUGAGGAGCGAAAGCGUGGGGAGCAAACAGG
rnacentral:rRNA from 1 species